CAUUGGCUUUGGGCUCUAGCUUGUUUUCAGGAUAGAAGGGGUACUCCAGUCUAGUCUGAAUAGUCUUGCCUUCUUAUCCUGUUGAUUUUUUUUUUACAGAUCAUAUACAUCCACUUAAGAUCACUGUUCAGUUAAGCUGGGGAACUAAACUGGAAGAGGAUGGAUGCUGUAACGGGGUAUGAAGUUGACGAACAUGGGAUCACUCCUGUGAAUCACAGUCAUUGUCUUGAGAUCAUGUUUCUUCAGGACUUUCCAUCCCAUGUGUAACAGCAAAGACUUAAUUGCUUAAGCUCAAGCUAGAACUGGGAAAAUCUGUCUUUUGUUCUUGCACCAAGAAAACCAUCAGCAGUGUGCAGUUUGGGAAAAGGAGCCAUACACCAAACACACUG
rnacentral:lncRNA from 1 species